CGCUAGUAAUCGCGCAUCAGCCAUGGCGCGGUGAAUACGUUCCCGGGCCUUGUACACACCGCCCGUCAAGCCAUGGGAGCCGGGGGCGCCUGAAGUCCGGGACCGCGAGGACCGGCCUAGGGCGAAACUGGUGACUGGGGCUAAGUCGUAACAAGGUAUC
rnacentral:rRNA from 1 species